CGGAUCGGAGUCUGNAACCCGACUCCGUGAAGCUGGAUUCGCUAGUAAUCGCGCAUCAGCCAUGGCGCGGUGAAUACGUUCCCGGGCCUUGUACACACCGCCCGUCACACCAUGGAAGUUGGGGGCGCCCGAAGUUGCCUAAGAAAUAAGGUACCUAAGGCGAAACCAAUGACUGGGGUGAAGUCGUAACAAGGUAGC
rnacentral:rRNA from 1 species